rnacentral:rRNA from 1 species
UCAAGCUACUAAGGGCGCACGGUGGAUGCCUUGGCAGAAACAGGCGAUGAAGGACGUGGCAAGCUGCGAUAAGCUUCGGGGAGCCGCACACAGGCGUUGAUCCGGAGAUUUCCGAAUGGGGAAACCCACAUGAGCAAACCUCAUGUAUGCCCUACUGAAUACAUAGGUAGGAGCAAGCGAACGGAGGGAAGUGAACCAUCUCAGUACCUCCAGGAGAAGAAAGAAACCUCGAUUCCGAUAGUAGUGGCGAGCGAACUCGGAACAGCCCAAACCCGUACUAUUUCGGUAGUUCGGGGGUUGUAGGGCCUGCAACAGUAGAGUUACCAAUCUGGUCGAUAGUCAAAGUGGUUGGAAAGCCACCCGAUACAGCGUGACAGGCGCGUAGACGAAAUUGAUCCAGACUCGAAGCAGGUACCUGAGUAAGGCGGGGCACGAGAAACCCUGCUUGAAUCCACGGGGACCAUCCCGUAAGGCUAAAUACUCGUUUCUGACCGAUAGUGAACCAGUACCGUGAGGGAAAGGCGAAAAGAACCCCGGGAGGGGAGUGAAAUAGUACCUGAAACCGUGUGCNNAGCGAAAGCGAGUCUGAAUAGGGCGAUUCAGUUGGCAGGAAUAGACGCGAAGCGGGAUGAUCUACCCUUGGCCAGGUUGAAGAUGGGGUAACACCCAUUGGAGGACCGAACCGGUGUUUGUUGAAAAAAGCUCGGAUGAGCUGAGGGUAGGGGUGAAAGGCUAAUCAAAUUCCGUGAUAGCUCGUUCUCUCCGAAAUAGCUUUAGGGCUAGCGUCGUGUGAUUUGGAUCGGUGGUAGAGACAUGGAUGGACUAGGGGGCUUUCCGGCUUACUGAAUCCAACCAAACUUCGAAUGCCGAUCACAACCAGCACGGCAGUCAGACUGUGGGGGCUAAGCUUCACAGUCGAGAGGAAAACAGUCCAGAUCGCCUGCUAAGGUCCCAAAAUUAUAGUUAAGUGGGAAAGGAAGUCGGAACGCUCAGACAGCCAGGAGGUUGGCUUAGAAGCAGCCAUCCUUUAAAGAAAGCGUAAUAGCUCACUGGUCAAGCGGUCCGGUGCCGACAAUACAACGGGGCUAAAACUAUAUACCGAAGCAGCGAAUGCACACCUUUGGUGUGCGUGGUAGGAGAGCAUUCUCUCGUGAAUGAAGCGUAACUGUGAAGAUACGUGGACAUUAGAGAAGAGACCCUGCCGGCAUAAGUAGCGAUAAUGAAGGUGAGAACCCUUCACGCCGAAAGUCUAAGGUUUCCUGAGGAAGGUUAAUCCGCUCAGGGUUAGGCGGUCCCUAAGCUGAGGCCGAAAGGCGUAAGCGAUGGACAUCCGGUUAAUAUUCCGGACCUCCCAAUACCUCGUUAUUACGAUGGGGUGACGCAUAAGGAUAAGCAGGACCUCAUAUGGCUAUGGGGUUUGAUACGCGUAAGCUGGAUUCUCUAGGCAAAUCCGGAGAGUCUUAACAGUGAGGCGUAAAACAGUAAGCCGUAGGGCUGAAAGCUGCUGAUUUCAUGGUGCCAAGAAAAACCUCUAAGGAGAGAGAUUGGGAACCGUACCACAAACCGACACAGGUAGACGAGGAGAAUAUCCAAAGGCGCUCGAGUGAAAGCUUGUUAAGGAACUCGGCAAAUUAGACCCGUAACUUCGGGAGAAGGGUCGCCCCCGUGGGUGCAAGCCUAGGGGGGCCGCAGUGAAACGCGAACGGCGACUGUUUAACAAAAACACAGGUCUCUGCAAAGUCAAAAACGACGUAUAGGGGCUGACUCCUGCCCGGUGCCGGAAGGUUAAAGAGAGAGGUUAGCCGCAAGGCGAAGCUUUGAACUGAAGCCCCGGUGAACGGCGGCCGUAACUAUAACGGUCCUAAGGUAGCGAAAUUCCUUGUCAGCGUAAGUUCUGACCCGCACGAAAGGUGUAACGAUCUGGACAC